UACAGAGGUCUCAAGCGUUGUUCGGAUUCAUUGGGCGUAAAGGGUGUGUAGGUGGCGCGCUAAGUCGGGGUGUGAAAUUUCGGAGCUUAACUCCGAAACUGCAUUGAUACUGGCGGUGCUUGAGGACUGGAGAGGAGACUGGAAUUUACGGUGUAGCAGUGAAAUGCGUAGAGAUCGUAAGGAAGACCAGUGGCGAAGGCGGGUCUCUGGACAGUUCCUGACACUGAGGCACGAAGGCCAGGGGAGCAAACGGG
rnacentral:rRNA from 1 species